rnacentral:rRNA from 1 species
GAUGAACGCUGACAGAAUGCUUAACACAUGCAAGUCAACUUGAAUUUGGGUUUUUAACUUAGGUUUGGGUGGCGGACGGGUGAGUAACGCGUAAAGAACUUGCCUCACAGCUAGGGACAACAUUUGGAAACGAAUGCUAAUACCUAAUAUUAUGAUAAUAGGGCAUCCUAUAAUUAUGAAAGCUAUAAGCGCUGUGAGAGAGCUUUGCGUCCCAUUAGCUAGUUGGAGAGGUAACGGCUCACCAAGGCGAUGAUGGGUAGCCGGCCUGAGAGGGUGAUCGGCCACAAGGGGACUGAGACACGGCCCUUACUCCUACGGGAGUCAGCAGUGGGGAAUAUUGGACAAUGGACCGAGAGUCUGAUCCAGCAAUUCUGUGUGCACGAUGAAGUUUUUCGGAAUGUAAAGUGCUUUCAGUUGGGAAGAAACAAAUGACGGUACCAACAGAAGAAGUGACGGCUAAAUACGUG